rnacentral:rRNA from 1 species
AUGGUCAAACUUUUCAGUCUGCCGGGCGGUGGCCUGCUCCCUCUCGAGCCGCCCGCCGCUUAUCCCGUCUGCUGCCGCUCGCCGCCUGCCGCCCGCCGCUUAUCCCAUCUCCUGCCGCUCUACCGCCGCCCCAGCGCCUCUAUAAGAUGGCCCCCGGCCUCGCUUAUCCACAAGCGGCCGCGGAGGGGCUCGGCUGCCGAGCCGCCACCAGGGGGCGUACCGGCGAGGGGCUGCGUCCACCUUGCCGUCGAGUGCCUCCUCCCCUCCGGCCGCCCCGAUUCCCUCUUCAUCCUCCAGCUCCAGCCCAACCCCGACACCCCGGACGUCAGGCGGGUCUUCCGUCGCCUAGCCAACCUCCUGGCCCCUCGGCGCGAUCCCCAUCCCCGGCUGACACCGCCCUUCGCGCCGUUGAAGAGGCCUUCUCCCACCUCUUGGAGAGCACCUCCACCAGCGCCGGUUUCGCUCCUGCUGCUCCCGGCGGCGUUUCCGUCUCAGAGAUGUGCUCUGGACGGUCUGCCCCCACUGCUGCCAUGUGCAUGA